UACGGGAGGCAGCAGUGGGGAAUAUUGCACAAUGGCGAAAGCCUGAUGCAGCUAUGCCGCGUGUAUGAAGAAGGCCUUAGGGUUGUAAAGUACUUUCAUCGGGGAGGAAAAACAAAACUAAUAAUUUUAUUUCUUGACGUUACCCGAAAAAGAAGCACCGGCUAACUCCGUGCCAGCAGCCGCGGUAAUACGGAGGGUGCUAGCGUUAAUCAGAAUUACUGGGCGUAAAGAGCACGUAGGUGGUUUUUUUAAGUCAGAUGUGAAAUCCCUGGGCUUAACCUAGGAACUGCAUUUUGAAACUGAAAUACUAGAGUAUCGUAGAGGGAGGUAGAAUUCUAGGUGUAGCGGUGAAAUGCGUAGAUAUCUGGAGGAAUACCUGUGGCGAAAGCGGCCUCCUAAACGAAUACUGACACUGAGGUGCGAAAGCGUGGGGAGCAAACAGGGAUUAGAUACC
rnacentral:rRNA from 1 species